CUGGUUGAUCCUGCCAGUAGUCAUAUGCUUGUCUCAAAGAUUAAGCCAUGUAUGUGUAAGUAUGAACUAAUUUAGACCGUGAAACUAUGAAUGGCUCAUUAAAUCAGUUAUAGUUUGUUUGAUGGUAUCUACUACUCGGAUAACCAUAGUAAUUCUAGAGCUAAUACGUGUAACAAACCCUAACUUCUGGAAGGGAUGCAUUUAUUAGAUAAAAGGUCGAUGUGGGCUAUGCCCGUUGCUUUGAUGAUUCAUGAUAACUCGACGGAUCAUAAGGCCUUUGUGCCGGUGACGUAUCAUUCAAAUUUCUACCCUAUCAACUUUCGAUUGUAGGAUAGUGGCCUACUAUGGUAGUGACGGGUGAUAGAGAAUUAGGGUUCAAUUUCGGAGAGGGAUCCUAAGAAACGGCUACCACAUCCAAGGAAGGCAACAGGAGCGUAAAUUACCCAUCUUGACAUGGGGAGGUAGUGACAAUAAAUAACAAUAUCGGGCUCUAUGAGUUUGGUAAUUGGAAUGCGUAAUCUAAAUCCCUUAACGAGUAUCCAUUGGAAGGCAAGUUUGGUGCCAGCAGCCACGGUAAUUCUAGCUCCAAUAGCAUAUAUUUAAGUUAAAAAGCUCGUAGUUGGAACUAGGGUUUGGUUGUCUAGUCCGUCUCACGGUGAGCAACGAUCUACUAGUCCCUACUGUCAGUGAUACGUUCCUGGACUUAAUUGCCCGGGUCGUUCCUUCGACGCUGUUACUUUGAAGAAAUUAAAGUGCUCAAAGCAGGUCUAUGCUUGUAUACAUUAGCAUGGGAUAACAUCAUAGGAUUUCGGUCCUAUUGUGUUGGCCUUCAGGAUCAGAGUAAUAAUUAAUAGGGACAGUUGGGGGCAUUCAUAUUUCAUAGUCAGAAGUGAAAUUCUUGGAUUUAUGAAAAACGAACAACUGUGAAAGCAUUUACUAAGGAUGUUUUCAUUAAUCAAGAAUAAAAGUUAAGGGCUCGAAGAUGAUCAGAUACCGUCCUAGUCUCGACCAUAAAUAAUGUCAACCAGGGAUCGGUGGAUGUCACUUUUAAGACUCUACCGGUACCUUAUGAGAAAUCAAAGUCUUUGGGUUCCAGGGCGAGUAUGGUUACAAGGUUAAAACUUAAAGGAAUUGAUGGAAGGGCACCACCAGGAGUGGAGCCUGCGGCUUAAUUUGACUCAAUAUUGGGAAACUUACCAGGUCUAGACAUAGUAAGGAUCGACAGACUGAGAGCUCUUUCUUGAUUCUAUGGGUGGUAGUGCAUGGCCGUUCUUAGUUGGUGGAGCGAUUUGUUUGGUUAAUUUUGUUAAGAACAAGACCUCAGCCUACGUGCCUCAUCCCAGGUGACACGCACUCCUUGUCCACUCGGACCUCGUUAAACCCCCCGCAUCGCUCGAUUGAUGCUCACAUCGUGACCCCAGGUCAGGUGGGAUCACCUGCUGAGUUUAAGCAUAUCAAUAAGCGGAGGAAAAGAAACUUACCAAGAUUCUCCUAGUAACGGUGAGCGAAUCGAGAAGAGCCCAGCUUGAGAAUUCGGUGCCCUUGACAAUUGAAUUGUAGUCUGGAGAAGCAUUUUCAGUGAUAGACCGAGCCCAGGUCCCCUGGAAAGGGGCGUCGGAGAGGGUGAGAGCCCCGUUGUGCCCGGACCCUAUUGCACCACGAGGCGUUGUUCGCGAGUCAGGUUGUUUGGGAAUGCAACCCUAAUCGAGUGGUAAAUUUCAUCCAUGGCUGAAUACGGGCG
rnacentral:rRNA from 1 species